rnacentral:rRNA from 1 species
GACGAACGCUGGCGGCGUGCUUAACACAUGCAAGUCGAGCGGUAAGGCCCUUUCGGGGGUACACGAGCGGCGAACGGGUGAGUAACACGUGGGUGACCUGCCCUCAGCUCUGGGAUAAGCCUGGGAAACCGGGUCUAAUACUGGAUAUGACUCCAUGACGCAUGUUGUGGGGUGGAAAGCCUUGUGCGGCUGAGGAUGGGCCCGCGGCCUAUCAGCUUGUUGGUGGGGCGAUGGCCUACCAAGGCGACGACGGGUAGCCGGCCUGAGAGGGCGACCGGCCACACUGGGACUGAGACACGGCCCAGACUCCUACGGGAGGCAGCAGUGGGGAAUCUUGCGCAAUGGGCGAAAGCCUGACGCAGCGACGCCGCGUGAGGGAUGACGGCCU